UUGCUUCUGCCUCUGCUGCCCGCUGC
rnacentral:piRNA from 1 species